ensembl:miRNA
CCUAGUCCCUGAGACCCUAACUUGUGAGGUAUUUUAGUAACAUCACAAGUCAGGCUCUUGGGACCUAGGC